GACGAACGCUGGCGGCGUGCUUAACACAUGCAAGUCGAACGGCAAGGCCCUGCUUUUGUGGGGUUCUCGAGUGGCGAACGGGGGAGUAACACGUGAGUAACCUGCCCUUGACUUUGGGAUAACUUCAGGAAACUGGGGCUAAUACCGGAUAGGAGCUCCUGCUGCAUGGUGGGGGUUGGAAAGUUUCGGCGGUUGGGGAUGGAUUCGCGGCUUAUCAGCUAGUUGGUGGGGUAGUGGCUUACCAAGGCUUUGACGGGUAGCCGGCCUGGGAGGGUGACCGGCCACAUUGGGCCUGAGAGACGGCCCAGACGCGAACAGGAGACAGCAGUGGGAAAUAUUGCCCAAUGAGCGGGAGCCUGAUGCGGCGACGCCGCGUGCGUGAUGACGGCCUUCUGGUUGUAAACCGCUUUCGCCUGUGACGAAGCGUGAGUGACGGUAAUGGGUAAAGAAGCACCGGCUAACUACGUG
rnacentral:rRNA from 1 species